rnacentral:rRNA from 1 species
GUUAAAAAGCUCGUAGUUGGAUUUCUGUUGAGGGCGACCGGUGUACACCUCGUGUAUUAUUUGGUUCGGUCUCGGCAUCCUCUUGGGGAACGUUUCUGGACUUUAUUGGACAGGGCGAGAUUCAAGACUUUUACUUUGAGGAAAUUAGAGUGUUCACGGCAGGCAAGCGCUUUGAAUACAUUAGCAUGGAAUAAUAAUAUAGGACCUUCGUUCUAUUUUGUUGGUUUCUAGACUAGGGUAAGUGAUCAAUAGGGAUAAUUGGGGGCAUUUGUAUCAACACGUCAGAGGUGAAAUUCUUGGAUUGUGUUACGACGAUCCACUGCGAAAGCAUUUGCCAAGGAUGUUUUCAUUGAUCAAGAACGAAAGUGCAGGGAUCGAAGACGAUUAGAUACCGUCGUAGUCUGCACCGUAAACUAUGCCGAUUAAAGAUUGGAGGUCGUUCUUAUUGUGGCUCCUUCAGUAAUUUAUGAGAAAUCAAAAUUCUUGAGUUCCGGGGGGAGUAUGGUCGCAAGGCUGAAACUUAAAGGA